rnacentral:lncRNA from 1 species
GGCCUCUUCCCAUCAACUUACCUGCCCUGGUGGCAGGGGUCUCUCUGCCCUCCCCCUGCAGCCCCCUCUCCCUCCUGUGCUCUGAGAAGGGGCUGCUGGGCAGACAGUGACCUUGCAGCUCAAUUCCUCCUUCACCCCGGAGGUGCCACAGCCCCCAAAAAAGAGAACGUAGGAAGGUAAAGGGUUAAUACUUAUCUGAUCCCUUCACCCAAUAACCAUGGAAGAGGCCUCUAGAAAUCCCCGGCUGCCCAAGGUGGGGAGCAGCACAGAGUCAGGGUCUAACACAGCUGAUUGCUUUUAUUGGGUUUCUAAGGAUUCCCUGUUGCCAUACGAAGGCAAACUGGACCACUGGAUCGGCCUCUGGAAGGACACGGGCCAGGUCUGGAAAUGGGCCAACGGGACCGAGUUUGACCGUCGGUUUGAAAUACAAGGCGGAGCUGACUGCGUGUACCUGGAUGAAGAACUCGCAGUUACCACGUCAAGCUGCAGCACAUCAAGAAAAUGGAUCUGCAGUAAACCUGAUACCCCUGCGAAGGGAGAGGAGCGAGCAGUGGGAGGGGAUUCGUGAACUCAAGGGAAUCGGAGACCAGCUGUGACAAAGCCUUGUUCUAGUCCCCUCCAUGGCACCUCCAUGCUGCAGCCUGGUUCCUUGUUUCUUAGUCUGUCUCCAGGGUUUGUCCAGUCCUAGUCGUCCAUUAUCCUAAUGCCGCGGUUUGUGACCCUUCUCUAGGGGAGACUGUCACCGUUUCAGGGUAACUGCAUCUCUAUCCCACCUCCAUCAGGUCAGGGCUUGAGUCUCCAGCCACCCCCUGUCUCUGGACAGAGACCCCGUCUCACUUCCUGACCGAGGCACUUAAAGUUGCACAGCUCCCUUCCAUACACCAUGAUAUCCCCAGCAAGCCAAUCUGUCUAAAAGCCAGCACCUGCACUUUGCUUUCUCUCUGAGCACAAUGCCCAGCAUGUUCCCGCUGUUACAAGAUAGCACACGGCCCUUCCUCAGCUGAUACAUUUAUUCUAGGGCAAAAGCGUUAUGGGGAAAAUGUAUAAAAAUUACUAAAAGUUCCCCCUCACUAAACACACCAGAACUCAUCCCUCUUCCACGGGGGAGUCUAGUAGCCAGUGACCCUUCCACGCGCUCCCUGUGGGGUUGGAGUCUUUCUCCCUCCCUGCCGAGAGCAGGUCCUGUCUAUUUUAAUUAAAAUAAAGGUCGUGAAUGUGUUUAAACUCA